UUCGAAUCCUUGGGGGAGCCUGUUACUUAAAAUUUUCGAAUUAUAUCUGUUGUCUCUGGUUGUUUUUCGUGGAAAAAUUGCGCUUUCUCUUUACAGGAAAUUUAGUUGCAGUUUGUAUAUCCUGAAGACAUCAAAGUCCCGCAGAGAACAAUGCCCCACAUACAUCAAUUCCCCGCAGACAUAAAUCCGAAAUACUAUAUUGUCCUUCUAUCAAUGCACCGGAAACACUUCAACCCAACACCGAAUGAAUAAAGCACGCUCAUUAAAAAAUACAUUAUUGGAAGGUAAGAAAUUUGUCGGCAAAAUUUUCUUCGAUACAUCCUUCAAAGACGACACCGAUCGUUUUUUGUUAACCAUUCUGGAAUUCCUUCUGCUCCGUCAAAUAAUACAUUAAAUUGAUCUGCAAUCAAGUUAUGACACCUGCUAAACGUUUUUGUCCAAAAUCCCUGUACACCAACAGGUCCUUUUGCUUUCUUUUUGCUAACAUUUCUGCUCAUCUUUUUGUUCAUAUUACUGUCCUCGGUAAAAAGGAUAUCUUCUUGUUGGGGAUAAGCUGUUCGCUUCAGACUGCAGAGUCAUCCAGCCCCAGUAUUGUGUUGUUCGUGCUUACCCCAAAACUGUCAAUUUUGUUUUGCAUCAGAAAUUAAUCUUUCGCGUGCUAAAUCAUCAUUAAUUUCUUGGUAGAUUCAUUUUUGUCGAUUCUAAACAAUCGGUUUUGCUGCUAUUGAUUAAUCCGUUGCUCAAACCUCGUUAGUUUUGCUUUCUUGGCAAGUAUGCGCUACUUCAGCUCUUCAAUCACAACAUUCAGUCCUUUUGUAUCAACACCAUUUUUCUUCAAUUUUUCAAAUUUACGAUCAUUUUUCAAAUAUUAUUAUUAUUAUUGUUUUUCUUGCUGUUAUUCCUUUCUUUUGAAAAGUUAGUAGUUAACAAUUUUUUGUUGCACAUGUACAACAUUAUUCCAGAUACUUUUUCUCAGCUGUAUAUCUCGAGAUGAAAAUAUAAUUUUCUUUAAAAUUGUUCUAGUCUUAGAUAAUCCAUAUCCUUAGUAAGAAAUCUGAUUUGGGAUUUUACUGUAAAGCAAGCAUUUUUUUUACUUCUUUUUACUUUUUUCUUGAUAGAGUCAUACUUUCCUUUUGUUAAACCAAUGCACUAUUCUAUUUCUUCCUUCAUUCUUUCAUUAUUUUGUGGUUAAUGGAAUAAAAAAUCUCUAUUCUUGCAAUAUAACGCCGACGAACAGUAACGUGCAAUUCUUUUGAUUUUUUUUAUAUGUAUAUCUUUUGUCCAACUGUUUGUUCUUUAUUUUAUUUUCUUGCUUUGACUAGAUCCUCUCAAUUACAGACAAUUGGCAGAUGAACGAAGGAUAGAAAUCGUUUCGUUUCUAUAACAGAAGAUUCCAGCUUCUAAUCCCCUAGGCCACAUUUUAUACUAUUUUGGUGGAGCUUAAACUGUUCCUAAUUGAAAUAGUUGCUUGUAUAUUCUGAGAUUGAUAUUACACAGUUUCUUUGUUUCACGUAAUUUCCGUUUUUGUCCAGUAAAUUAGUUGUUUAAUGACUGAACUUUAUUUUUGUUAAACAUUGUUGUGUUUAUCAAACAUUUUUCAUUAGGACGAAGAAAGAUUGACAGAGAGGGGGAGAGGGACGGAAGCUGGUGCGUAGAAACAUGUUAUUUGUUUUAUCUUUGUGAAAAAUCUCUAUUUUAGUUUAGCUUGUAUUAAUGAACAAAAUCAGAAUAUGGCAACAUUAUGGAUUUAAUUAAUUUAUUCACACUUUACAUCAUCAUCUUGCAAUUUUCUCUAAAAAGAAAUAAAAUUUUAAAGUAUUCUAAAAAUACGACUAUGUUUAAACGAAAGAAGAGAUAGCAUAGAAAAUCCGUUAAAAUAUAAAACAAAUAUAAAGAGGGAAGUGUUGCUAUAACCAGGUUGUUGUCUCCUCGGUGAACGAAGUUUUAAAUAUAUAAUUUACUAACUGAACUCAAAGACUUCGAAUGAAAUAUCCAGUCAUUAAACACAACCAAAUGCUGACGCAGAAUUUUAUAUCGAAACUUAUGGACUGGUGAUCAAAUAUUAUAUCUACCUAUUUUUAAGCGCAUAUACAAAAUGCACACACACCCAUACACACAGACAUACACGCACACACACACAUUAUAUAUGUAUUUACAUAUGUAUGUAUGUAUGUAAGUAUGUAUAUAUGUAUGUAUGUAUGUAUGUAUGUAUGUAUGCUUGUAUGUAUGUAUGUAUGUAUGUAUGUAUGUAUGUAUGUAUACAGGUUGUUUGGAUUAAAUUUGACGCUGUUUUAUGUCUAGUUAUUUUCCAGAACUGCUUUGAUGUAUUAGAGAACAAUCAGUGGCGUUGGAAAGAUUAAUAUUAAAGUUGUAGUUGAAAAAAGUUAGCUGUCAUGGAGUGGACUGGGGGCCAUCUGAAUAUUAGAAAAGAGUUACAUGUAUCAUGAUGAUUCGAGCCGGGUAUCAAAAUAUCAACAUCAUGACUGCUGCUCAAUACUCUGUGAACACUGUAAAGUCUGUAUAGACAUGACAAGAACAGCUGCGAUGGAGACACCAGUAAGGGUGACUUUAUGCCACCCAACAUCUUUGAACAGGGACUUAAGCACGAUUCAAACAGCUAUGAGAAGCUGCUGAACAUUGUUCGCUUCAGACUGCAGAGCCAGCAUUGGGCAGUUCUUGUUUACACCAUAUUCCACCCCAAAACUGUUAACUUUCAUUUGCAUCAGGAAUUAAUCUUUUGCAUGCUAAAUCAUCAUUAAUUUCUUUGAUAAGUUAUUUUUUGGUCGAUUCUAAACGGUCGGUUUUCCCGCUGUUGAUUAUUCCGUCGCUCAAACCUCGUUAGUUUUGCUUUCUUGGUAAGUAUGUUCUGCUUCAGCUCUUCAAUCACAACAUUCAGUCCUUUUGUGUCAACACCAUACUUCUUCAGUUUUUCAAAUUUACAUUCAUUCUUCAAUUAUUAUUCCUCCAGCAAUCCUCUCCAACCCUGAUUGAAGAGGAUUGCUGCAGGAAUGCUAUAUGUGUGUGGUCGCAGGAUUCGAAUUAUUGUCAUACUUACAGAAGAAGUCAGAAGUGGUUGUUGGAGAAUUACUUCGAUUUCACCAGCCUCAAUUUCUGGAGCGGUCUUGAGGCCCUGGUGGAAGCUGAGGGAGUAAAUAGUUAUCUCCUAGUCAUAAUCUAGUUGAUUUUUUUUUGUUUUAAAAUACCUUUAUUUUGGGAUGGGAUAUUGAAUUUUCUUUUCGCAAGCUGUCAAAUUUAGCCCAAUAUGUAUAUGUAUAUACAUAAACACACACACCGAUACACACACACAAGAAUUUAAUUUCCAAUAAUAUAUAUAUAUAUAUAUAUAUAUAUAUAUAUAUAUAUAUAUAUAUAUAUAUAUAUAUAUAUAUAUAUAUAUAUAUACUUUUACUCUUUUAUUUGUUUCAGUCAUUUGACUGUGGCCAUGCUUGAGCACCGCCUUUAGUCGAGUAAAUCGACCCCAGAACUUAUUCUUUGUAAGCCUAGUACUUAUUCUAUCGGUCUCUCUUGCCGAACUGCUAGGUGACGGGGACGGAAACACACCAGCAUCGGUUGUCAAGCGAUGUUGGGGGGACAAACACAGACACACAAACACAUACAUAUAUAUGUAUAUAUACAUAUAUACGACGGGCUUCUUUUAGUUUCCGUCUGCCAGAUCCACUCACAAGGCUUUGGUCGGCCCGAGGCUAUAGUAGAAGACAUUUGCUCAAGGUGCCACGCAGUGGGACUGAACCCGGAACCAUAUGGUUGGUAAGCAAGCUACUUACCACACAGCUACUCCUAUGCCUAUAUAUAUAUAUAUAUGUAUGUAUGUAUGUAUGUAUGUAUAUACACACACAAGAAUUUAAUAUCCAAGGAUUUAAUUUCUUCCUUUCUCUUCUGGUGGCUUCAAAUUAUUUGGUUCCGAUGGUGAUGAAAUACCACCAGUUGGUACGCUCACGGGUUUGUGUUUCAAACUAUUUAGGUUGAAAUUCAGCAGCUACAGGUGUUAUUUUGAGUUGGUCCUAGUACUUUCAAAGAGGACCACCUCUGGUCUUUUCCCUGAAGUAAGCUCGCUUCAUAAGUCUUUACGUGGGAACAUUGCCUCUUCCAUUUUUACUACAUGUCCUGAUCAUCAAAGACAGAGUUUCAUGGUCAGCGAUUCAUUGCCUUGACUGUUAGCUCAGUCCAGCUGGUGAAAGCGUUCUAAUUUUUGGAUGUCGCGUCGAAAUAGCGUCCAGGAUUCGCUGCCAUAUAGAAAGGUUGAAAUGACAGCAUUAUAGAGCAUAAUUGUUGUUGCUAAGUAUAGAUUUUUGCUGUUGAAGUCGCGUUUGAUUAGCUUUCGAAAUGGCCCGUGUGCAAUUUCAAUUAUGUGUUUCUCACCAUUUUCUGAGGUUCAUUUGUUUGAUAAAAAGCUGGGAUGUUAAGUAUUUUAAUUUGUGAUGAGAAAGAUGAAAGGAUUUUGUAGUGCCUUUGGAUUUUGGAUUUUGGAUUACACAUAUUUCGAAACAGAUGUUGAGUUUCUUAUUUUAUUAUAGAAAAUGAAUGUUUAUAUGAUGAUAUUUCAAAAUCCAUAUAUAUUCCGACGAAGAUGUUCAGUGUUUUAAUUUAUGAUUAAGAAAUGAACUUUUUGCGAUGACACGUUUGGAUUUAAAUUUCGAUACUUAUUCCGAAUGAGUUGUAGUGAGUUUUAACUCAAACGAGUCUUCAACAACUAACGUCUGAAAAUAGCAACAAAAAGUAUGGUUUAUAAUGCUGUUGUCAUUUCAACCUUACUCUAUGGCAGCAAAUUUUGGACUCUGAAAUUAGAACGCUUUCAUCAGCAAAAGCUUCGAUCAAUCUUGGACAUCAAAUGGGAACACCAUGUAACCAACAACAAUGUCCUGGAAAGAGCUAACAGUCAAGGCAAUGAAUCGCUGAUCAUGAAACAUUGUCUUUAGAUGGUCAGAACAUGUAGCAAAAAUGGAAGAGGCGAUGUUCCCGCGUCAAGUUUUAUUCAGCGAGCUUACUUCAAAGAUACUAGGACCAACCAAAAUAACACCGAACGCAACUGGAUUUGAGCCUAAAUCGUUUGAAACACAAAUCCGAGAGCGUACCAACUGGUGAUAUUCCAUCACCAUUGGAACCAAUAUUUUGACGCCACCAGAAGGCAAAGGAAGAAAUCAAACGACCAGAGAAAGGCUCCUCAAUUUGAAAAUAAAUGUUCAUCUGAUAAUUCCUCCUCAUAUGUGAUUCUAAAUAUAUUUCAAAAUAUAUGCUGCAUAUUGUCAUUAAUGAUUUGAUAAGGAAAAACUAUGGUAUGAUUCAUGCUGAAUUCGGAUGCCAUAUAAUAUUCCGAAAGAGAUGUAGAAAUUGUAUAUUUUAUCAGAAAAUUAUUGUUUAUGUAUUGAUAUUUUUUAUUAAACACUUCACAUAUCUUUAGAAAGAGGUGUUGGAAUUUAUGGAGAGAAAAUGAUUGUUCAUGUGAGAAUAUUUGGUAUUUAUGAUUCCAUAUAUAUAUAUUCUGACCAAGAUGCUGAGUUUUCAUUUAUAAAUAGCUUGAAAAUGAUUUUUUUAUGAAACCUUUGUUCUUAAGAUUCCAUAUAUAUUCCAAAACGAUAAUGGUGUUUAAACUCUUGAUCAGUAAAUAAAAUGUUUAUGAUCAUGCAUUUGGGUUUAAUAUUCCAUAUAUAUUACCAGACAAUUGUUGAUUAUUAUAAUUUAUUAUUAGAUAAUAAAUGCCUAUUUGAGGAUACAUAUUAUUUACAAUACCAAAUAUAAUCGGCAAGGUAUAUUAAGAGUUGUAUAUAAUUAUCAGAAAGUAUGUGGUUAUGCAUUCGCGUUUCAUACUUCAUAUGUGGUCCAAAGUAGAGUUGAGUAUUUUAAUUUAUGAUUAGAAAGUGAAUGAUUUUGUGAUCAUACCAUAUAUUUCGAAAAAGAUGCUGCAUAGUCAGAUUUAGGAUUUGAAAGUAAAUGCAUAAAACGAUUACAAAAGGAAUAACUAUGUUGUUGUACAUUCUGAUUUCAGACCCUAUAUAUAUAUAUUCUAAAAGAAAUGCUGGAGAGUUUUAAUUAUGGUUAUAAUAUGAAUGUUAAUAUGUUGAUAUUUUUUAUCUUAGAUUUAAAUAUACUUCGAAAAUUAUGUAGUGUUUUCAUUUAUGAUGUGAAAAGAGAUACUACAAUUUCUGUUUACAAUUCCAUAUAAAUAUUGACCGAGAUGUUGAGUGUAAAAAUUUAUGUUUAGAAAAUUUAUAUUUAAUCGUUCUUACUUUUGAAUCUAAUAUUCCAUAUGCAUUUCGAAAGAGAUGCUGAACGCUUUAAUUUAUAAGUAAAAAGCAACGUUUUGUGAUAAUACCGUAAAAUUUCAUACACCAUAUUUAUACCGAUAGAGGUCUUUAUCUUUUAUCUUUAACUCUUUUCAGUCAUUACAUUGCAGUCACGCUGGAGCAACAGCUUGAAUACUUUUAGUCGAACGAAUCGACCCCAGAACUUAUUUCCUUUUAAGGCUGAUACUUAAUCUAUUUGUACCAUACAUAUUCUGAAAUCGAUGUUGUAUAAAUUCUUAUGCAAUUAGGAAAUGGAUGAUAGUGUGAUGCUAUCCUCGGAUUUAAGAUUUCAUAUAUAUGGACGUUCAAUGUUUUAAUAUUAGAUAAGAAAAUUAAUGUUCUGUGGUGAUACCUUUAUACUUCAGACGCAUAUAUUUUCCGAAAACGAUACGUUGUUAUGGUGAUACAUUUCCACUUAAAAUUCCGUAUAUAUUCCUAAAGAGAUGUAGAAUGUUUUAAUUUAUGAUCCGAAGAUUACUGAAUUUGGAUUUUAAAUUCCAUAUAACAGGUCUUCUGUUAUUUAAUUUCAGAUUUGGAAAUAAAAGCCAAUGUGAUGAUUACUUUUUAUUUAAGAUUUCAAAUAUAAACAGAAAUUAUGUUGAGUGAUUUAUUUUAAGUUUAGAAACUGAAUAACUAUAUGUUGAUACAUUUUGCUUUCAGGUUUCAUAUACAUUCUAGAACAGAUGUUGGUUCUUUUCAUUUGUGAUUAAGAAAUGCAUGUCAAUAUCUUGAUACUUUUCUAUUUAAGAUUUCAUAAAUAGGGAGAUUAAAUGUUUAUAUUUAUGCUGACAAAAUGAAAGUUUAUCUUAUUUUGUAUUUAAGGUUCCAUGUAUAUUUCCAAAGUGCUGUUAAGAUUUAGAAAAUGAAUGUUUAUACGAAGAUAUUUAGUAUUUUUGAUUCCAUAUAUAUUCUGAUAGAGAUGAUGAAUGUUUGGAUUUCUGAUUAAACUAUUGAUGCUUUAGGGUGGAUAAAUCACAGAUAUUUCAAAAUCGACGUUGCGAUUUAAAUCUUUUAUUAGAAAAUAUUUCCAUUGUUAUUUAUGAAAUUACAAAUGCAUUAUAAAAGUGAUCUUGUAAGUUCAAAUUUAUGAUUUGUCACUUAAUAAUGAUGAGGUGAUACGUUUGUAUUUUAUUCCCUAUAUAGAUUCUGAAAGACUUGCAUAUUUCAGUUUAUGAUUACAAAAUGAGCGUUUAUGUUUUGAUAGUUUGGAUUUAAGAGUUCAUAUACAUUUCAAAAGAAAUGUUGAAUGAUUUAAAACAUGACUGGAAAAUGAAUAUUUAGAGAAGGUAUGUUGUAUUUCAUAUGCGAAAUAUAUCCCGAAAGAGGCGAUAUUGAGUAUUUAAUUUCUGCUUAGGAAAUGAAAUAUUUUGCGAUAUAUAUUCCGUAGUCGAUGCUGAGUGUUGUAAAUUUUGAUUAAUAAAUGUACGGUGCCAUGAGGAUACAUUUUGAUUUAAGAUACCAUGUAUAUACCGAAAGAAAUAUUGACUGUUUUCAUUUACGAUCAGAAAAUGAAGUCAUGAUACAUUUUGCUUUGAGACAACAUAUACAUAUUAAAAUAGAUGUUGCAUAUUUUCUUUGUGAUUAGAAAAUGAAUGUAUACGCAUUUUGGAUUUACGUGUUUACGUGUUUUGGAUUUAAACUUUUAUACAUAUUCUGAGAAAAGAUUUCCUAUGAUAUAAUUUAUGAGACGAAAAUUAAUGUUGAAUGUCAUGCUGUUCUAAUUAAGAAUCCAUAUAUGUCCCAUAGUGAUGUACAGUGAUUUAAUUUAUGAUUACAAAAUGAAUAGCUAUGUGGUGAUGCAUUUGUAUUUCAGACUCCAUAUGUAUUGCAAAAGUGAUGUUGAGUGAUUUAUUUCAUGCUUAGAAUGUGAAUGCGUUUUUUUCUGAUGAUUCAUUGAACAUGCAUGUCUAUCUAUCCUAAAAAGGAAGAUGUUCAGCGUUUUCAUUUAUGAUCAGAAGUUGAAUAUUUAUUUGAUAAUAACUUUGCAUUUAAUAUUGCGUAUAUAUUCCCGAAUGCAAUGUCUUGUAUUUACGAUUAGAAAGUGAAUAUCCUGCAAUGAUACCUUUGAAUUUCAAACUCCAUAUAUAUUCCGAAAUACUUGUUCGAUGUUUUUACAUUCUGAAAGAGAUGUUGAGUGUUUUAAUUUAUCAUUAUAAAAUUAAUAAGUAUGCGGUGUUACAUUUUUAUUUAAGACAUCAUAAUAUUAUGAAAGAAAUGUAAGAUAUUUUAAUUUAGAAAAUGAAUCUUUAUAUGCUGAUAUUUUUGGAUUUAAUUUACAUUUAUAUUUCGAAAGCAAUGUUGAGAUUUUUAAGGAUCUAAAAAUUGUAUGGUUAUAUGAUGAUAUUUUGUAUUUAUGAUUCCAAAAAUAUUCCAACCGACACAUUGACUUAUAAUUAAAGAAUAAAUUAUUUUGUGAUAAUAUAUUGAAUCUAAGUGCCCACAUAUAUUCAGAAUGUGAUGUUGUGUAUUUUCAUUUAGUAUAAGGAAAUGAAUAUCUUUGUCAUGAUACCUAUGGAAUUAAUAUACCAUGUAUAUUCCGAAGCAAUGUUAAGUGUUUUAAUCUAUGAGUAUAAAGUGAACCUUUAUAUGAUGAUACAUGUGGAAUUCAGUUUCCAAAAUAAUGCUGAGCGUUUUAAUUCAUUUGGAAUAAGUGCUUUGUCAUAAUAAUUUUUGAUUUAAGGUUCCAUAUAUAUUCCGAAACUGCCGUCGCAUUUACAUUUACGAUUCGAUAAUGAAUCUUUAUGCGUGAUGAUAGCUUUGAAUUUAAGAUUCCAUAUAUUUUACCCAAGAGAUGUUGGCUUUUUUAUUUUGAUUGGAAAAUUAAUAUUUAUAUGAUGAUACCUUUGGAUUAUUUCUAUUCCAUAUAUAUUCCGAAUGUGAUAAAGCAUUUUAAUUUAUAAUUAGAAAAUUAAUGUCUAUGUGACUGUGUGGUUAGAAGCUUGCUUCCUAACCACAAUGUUCUGGUUUCAGUCCCACUGCAUGACACCUUGAGCAACUGUCUUCUAUUAUAGUCUUGAGCCAACCAAAUCCUUGUGAGUGGAAUAGGUAGACGGAAACUGAGAGAAUCCUGAUGUAUUUAUAUAUAUGUAUAUAUAUAUACACACAUACAUAUGUUUAUAUAUAUAUAUAUAUAUAUAUAUAUAUAUAUAUAUAUAUAUAUAUAUAUAUAUAUAUAUAUAUAUAUAUAUACAAGGAUUGGAGAAAAUAAUGGAAACACCUAGCAUCAUAGUAUCAUAAUUUUGAAAUAUCUAUCAAACCAUCAAAAGCUUAUUUAUUUUUUUAUUAUUCUUUUUAGUGUUGCUUAAUACGUUUUGCUAAAAUUGGUGUUUCUUUUCAGAUAACAUAAGAAAAAGGUCAUUAAAAUUCAUUAAAAUGACAGAUCUAUCGGACUUUCAAAGAGGUCAAAUUGUUGGUGCUCGUAUAGCAUGCGCUAGCGCAACGAAAACAGCCGAAAUGUUUGGUGUAUCAAGAAGUACUGUCUCGAAAGUAAUGACAGCCUUUGAAAAAGAGGGAAAAACCUCCUCAUCGAAACAAAACUCUGGAAGAAAACCAAAACUUUCAGAUAGGGACCGUCGGAUUCUUACGCGAAUUGUUAGAAGGGAUCAGAAAUGUUCAUCUCCCAAAAUUACUGCAGAGCUUAAUGACCACCUCGAGAACCCAGUUUCCACAAAAACUGUUCGACGUAAGCUGCACAAAGCCGGAUUUCACGGGAGGGCUGCUAUCAGAAAACCACUACUUUCAAAAACAAACGUUACAUAGCGUUUAGAGUGGAGUGAAAACCUACAGAAUUGGUCUCUAGAGCAGUGGAAGAAUGUUAUUUUCUCGGACGAGUCAUCCUUUACCAUAUUUCCAACCCCGGCUGAAGAUACGUGUGUAGACAGCGAAAAGAAGCAUUUGAUCCAGACUGCCUUCUCCAAACAAUCAAACAUGGAGGGGGAUCUGUGAUCAUCUGUGGGGGAGGGGCUAUAUCUUGGAAAUUCGCCGGCCCUAUGGUUUUUCCUCAUAGCAGAAUUAAUAGCCAAGACUAUUUAAGCAUUUUAUCUUAUUGAGUUCAUCCUAUGGUUGCGGAACUGUUUCUGGAAGGAAACGCAAUCUUUCAGGAUGAUAAUGCACCAAUUCACACAGCUUAAGUCGUAACUGAAUGGCACGAGAAACAUUCUAGUGAAGAUGGACAUCUUAUCUGGUCACCACAGUCUUUAGAUCCCAAUAUUAUUGAACAUUUAUGGUGCAUUUUAGAAAAACAAGUGAGGAGUCGAUAUCCCCCAUCAUCAUCUCUAUAAGAACUGGAGGCUGUUUUAGCUGAAGAAUGGACAAAAACUCCUUUGGAAACAAUUCAAACUUUGUACCAGUCCAUACCCCGUAGAAUUCAAGCUGUAACUACUACCAAAGGCGGUCCUACCCAUAUCAAAAUAAAUUAGUUUGAAAUCUUAAGGUGUUUCCAGUAUUUUUCCAACCCCUGUAUAUAUAUACAUAUAUAUAUAUAUAUAUAUAUAUAUAUAUAUAUAUAUAUAUAUAUAUAUAUAUAUAGGGUGAAUUCUCAACAAAAAAAAAUGACGAAGACGGGUGGUGUAGACAACAAACAGAUGUAUUAGUUUAACAUUUCGAGCCUACGCUUUUCCAAAGAAAGGAACACAGAAACAAAUAAUGAUAGAAAAUAAAGAAUGUGUAGUGGCUAGCGAUCAAACGUAUACGUAUCUAUGUGUGUCUUUGUGUCUGUAUUUGUCCUCCCAGCGCUUUAAAAAAUCAACUACUAGGAAUGAUUUAUUCGGCGAAAAAUUUAAGUCGGUGCCCCAGCAUGGCCGCAUUCUAAUGACUGAAACAAGUAAAAGAUAAGAUACUUUGGGAUUUAAGAUUCCAUAAAUAUUCCCAAGCGAUUUUGAGUGUUUUAAUUUAAUAUUAGAAAAUGAAUGAUUGUGUGUGAGAGAGUGUGUGUGCGUGCGUGCGUGCGUACAUAUAUAUAUAUGCAUGUAUAUAUGCAUAUAUAUGCACAUAUAUAUAUAUAUGUAUAUAUAUAUGUAUGCAUAUAUAUAUAUACAUAUAUGUAAAUGUGUGGGUGGGUGUGUAUUAUAUAUAUAUAUAUAUAUAUAUAUAUAUAUAUAUAUAUAUAUAUAUAUAUAUACAUAUGUAUGUAUAUAUGUAUAGGUAUUAACAUGCAUGCAUGCUACGAGUUUGUCUUUUAUAUAUAGAUAUCCCUAAGCAGUCAUCUGUUUUGGAUUUAAACUGUGAUACAAAAUCUAAACAGUUACCGCACCAUUCCAAUCUUUCUGGUUACUUUUGAUUUAAUUUCUUACAAUGUAGAUUCUGAGUGUAGCAGACUUCUGUCUGAUAUUUUGUGGUUGUUAAUCAGUACUUGAUGCACUGCAUUUUGGAAGAUAAUCUGGUACAAUUUGAUUUUAUCUUUUCUCUUGUGCUUAUAGUCCAGUUCUGUCAGGUAUAUAUGCAAGGCCUGUUUUUCUUUGAAAGAGUGAAAUAGAGAGAAGUGAGAAAAAAGACUGUUUUACUAUUGCCUCUAUAUCUCCAUUGGCCCACUAUUUCUAGUCUCUCUUUUUCUCUCAAUCUUUCUAUCUUUAUCUUUCUCUAUUUACCUUUCACAACACCCACAUCUCUUCCGACGCUUCCACUAACACCAUUGCCAUAACUACCAACUAUUUAUUUCUAACUUUGAGAUACUUCUUUCGUUGUUGCACAAAAUGUUGAUAGAAACGUAUUAUGGUAUAUAAUAGGCGUAGGAGUGGCUGUGUGGUAAGUAGCUUGCUUACCAGCCACAUGGUUCCCGGUUCAGUCCCACUGCGUGGUACUUUGUCCAAGUGUUCUCUACUAUGGUCUCGGGCCAACUAGAGCCUUCUGAGUGGAUUUGGUAGACGGAAACUGAAAAAAGCCCCUUAUAUAUAUAUAUAUAUAUAUAUAUAUAUAUAUAUAUAUAUAUAUAUAUGUAUGUAUGCAUGCAUGUAUGUAUGUAUGUAUGUAUGUAUGUAUGUAUGUAUGUAUGUAUGUUUGUGUGACAUUGUUUGUCCCCCCAGCAUCGCUUGACAACCGAUGCUGGUGUGUUUUCGUCUCCGUAACUUAGCGGUCUGGCAAAAGAGACCGAUAGAAUAAGUACUAAGCUUACAAAGAAUAAGUCCUUAGGUCGAUUUGCUCUACUAAAGGUGGUGCUCCAGCAUAGCUGCAGUCAAAUGACCGAAACAAAUAAAAGAAUAAGAGAAUAAAGACUGUCUUCCAAUAUUCAUAUCUCUCUCUCCGCCGAAAUUGCUGGCCUUGUGCCAAUAUUUGAAACCAAUAUACAUGUAUCUUUGUAUUGUGUAUGCAUUAGACAAAAAACAUCCUUGCUUAGAUUCAGUAUAUUCAAAUAUUUGAAGAUUUACGGUACACUUUUCAAAAAGCACACACUACGGAAUUUACAAUGCUCACACAUACUAACGCAAACACGUCCUGACAAGCAAACACAUUACAAAUAUGUACAUAUUUUUGUAUAUAUGUUUGCAUAGCUAAUGUAUAUUUGUAAAAUCUUAAAUUAUUCCUUCUGUAGAUAAGAAUGAAGAGGCAUCAAGUGUAAUUAAAUUCUAAAUUAUAUGUCUUCGGAAAUAAUAAACAUGACGUUCACAUCAAUAUUCACAUCAAUAUGUUGCCAUAGUGCCAUAGUAACGAAGCUAAAGCAAGCGGAGCGAAAUCAUUUGGCAAAGAUUGACCUUGAACCUUGCUGUGCAUGCGCACUAAGUUUUAACGUUCUAGCUCACUUACACUGUUUACAGCACUGCUUGGAAGGAAGAUGUGUCGCGUGUGAUCGUCGCAUUGACCAUGACAGAGAAAGUUGUCAUGGCGAUACCUGCUUAGAGGCCUACGCAAGUGUAUGGAGAGGAGUGUAUGAGCCACACACAAGUGUACAAGAGGUUCAGACAUUUCCAAAAUGGUCGAAAAAAUAUCGAUAAUGACGAAUGACCAGCAGAACUGAAAAAACAUCGCAUGUGCGUGCAGCUGUGAGGGGAAAUCGUCGAUUCAGAGGAUGUGCAGACUAGUUCAGUUCAUUAUCACUGAAGAUUUCGAUGUCAGACGCGUAUCUGCCAACUUUGUGCCAAAACUGCUUUUAACUGACCAAAGAGUCACUCGGAAUUCAGCUGCACAAGAUUUUCUUGAUUGUGUCGAGGCCUCUGAGCAGGUAUCGCUAGGUUUUUGGCAAAAUGUGAUGCAGAUCUCUCUGCUCAACCUUCUCUGUCAUAGUCAAUGCGAUGAUCCCUCACUACAGCACUGCUGUAAACAGUGAAAGUGGGCUAGAACGUUAAAACUAAAUGUGCAAGCACAACAGAGAUCAAGGUCAAUAUUUACCAAGCGGCUUUACUCUGCGUGCUUUAGCUUCGUUAUGACAACAGUCCGGAUACUUAUUGAUCAGACUACGUAUAUGCAUGUGUGUGUGUAUAUAUGUAUGCGUGUAUGUAUAUAUAUAUGUGCACACACACAUACAUACAUAUAUAUGUAUAUAUAUAUAUAUACAUGCACACAUACAUAUACAUACGUACACAAACUCACAUUCACACACACACACUAGUAAGUACCUAGGUGCAAAGCAAGGUGGGAAAAUAGUACUCGACAACCAAAGUUAGAAUGAAAUGUUUCUCAGAGUUUCACGUAAUCGUUCAUAAGAGGACUAUGAUAUGAUCACAAUUGCCUGAUGAACUGUUAAGUGAAGCUCUGAUUUAUAUAUAUAUGUGUGUGUGUGUGUGUGUGUGUGUGUGUGUGUGUGUGUGUGUGUGUGUGUGUGUGUGUGUGUGUGUGUGUGUGUGAGUGUACGUGUGCGAGUGUGUGUAUGUGUGUGUGCGUGUGCGUUUAUUAAUUCGUCUUGUGAAUAUAAAUAUAUGGAUGAAUAUAUGCAUGUUUUAAGUAUGAAAACUUCUGAAACUGUCAUCGAAUAAGUUUCAUCUGCAGUUACUUGGAAUACUCUAUCUGAGAGCAACAAUGGGCUGCAGCCUUAGCUUCAAAAAAAUAAAUCUCUAUUAUUCAGUAUUCUUCGAAUAGGUAUGCAUACGCAUGCGCACACAGCACAACAAACACAGACAUACUCAUAUAUGUAGCGUGUGUGCGUAUGUGCAUCUGCAUGUCCGUACGUAAGCAUGUGUAUGUGUGUGUGUGUGUAUGAAUGUGUAUAAGUAAAACACAAACUCUUGUGAGAAUCUAUAUACCAAUAACAAAAUAAUAUAAACACACAGAUAAAUAUAGAUUGAUUGAUAAAUAGACGGACAGGCAGACAGACGGAUAUACAGAGUACCUGAAAGUAUACUGUCAUCUCAAUCCUUUAACAUGUUCAACAAAUGGUAACACUUCAUAUUCGUAUGUGUAUAUACACACAUACUCACACACUCACGUAUAUAUCACAAAAUUUGACGUAUUUGAUGUAUGUGUAAUAGUCAAUGGAGGUGUACAACGUGUAAAAUAUACAAUAUCGUGAAGUAUAUAAUGCCUGAUAUAUAUAUAUACAUACAUGCAUGCAUACAUACAUGUAUACAUGCGUGUGUGUGCAUGCGUUUAUAUAUAUAUAUAUAUAUAUAUAUAUAUAUACACACACACAUAUAUAUAUAUAUAUAUAUAUAUAUAUAUAUAUAUAUAUAUAUAUAUAUAUAUAUAUAUAUAUAUAUAUACAUAUAUAUAUUUAUACAUACACAUUUAUGUGUGUGUGAUUGUAUGUGUGAGAGAGAGAUACACACACACGUGUAUGUAUGUGUGCAUGUUUGGAAGGAUGUAGAAUAAAACUUUAAGUAACACUUGACUUGUCUGACACUCAACACGAAUGCUAUUCAACGAACAUAGCACUUUGUAACAAGUAUCGUCUUUCAGAUUUAAACAAUUUUCUUUCUCUUUUGUUAUUGAUUUUUGUUGGUGUUUUUUCUUUGUUUUUGUGGGGGUUUUUUGUGCUUUAUUUUUCCCCCCAUUUAUUCCCAUUCACGCAAUGUCGUGGACCUGAAAGCUAAAAUUGUAUAUUUAAAGAGUGUUUUCAGUUUUGUUCUGAUUAACAAAUCAGUCGAAAUCCUUUUUCUUUCUUUUUUUAAUACCUACCUUUACUUCACGAUCUUUCUCAUUUGUUUAAGAGCUAGACACUUUGUACGUUAGAUUUAGAGGUGGUUACGGUUUAUGUUUAAUACUCGUAAUUUUCAAAUGUAUUUUACAUAUUCAAUAUUUCCUGCCUUAAAAUAACUUACACUUAUUUUAUUCACUGAUAUCGAUGUCAUCACUGAAUUUGCAUAUCAAUAUUGAUAUUCUGCUUUGUCAACUCUUCUGUUACCAAAAUCGACAUUCUGUAUUAGUUACACUUCGCUGUUAGGUGACGUCAUUAUAAACUAUCGUAGUGUCAGUGUCCUUAUUUUUUAAAUACUUUAAACUGCUUGAGAAAAUUUAAACUGUUUUUCAUCUAAUAGUUCCUCUUAGUUUAAUAAGAAUGUCCAAUUGCUAUAUAAAAAUACUUAAAUACUGUACUGAAGUACAGUUGUUGAUAGAACAUAUCCCGCAUAGAUCACUAAGCUCAAAAACUCAAGAGGCCGCCGAUUACUUGACGAAACUGUACUGUUUCCUCUGCUACGUGGUGACAUAUAUAUAUAUAUAUAUAUAUAUAUAUAUAUAUAUAUAUAUAUAUAUAUAUAUAUAUAUAUAUAUAUAUAAGUAAGGAAAAAAUUUUUUUAAAAAUGCAGAAUGCUCAAAUGAAAGAAAAUUUUAAUAAAAUGAGAAAAUGAUAAAAUAUAUAAAUGUAUAUUUAUUCAACCGGUUUUCGUCAUUGUAUGACUUGUCAAGAAUAUUUAUGUUUUAAGAAGUUUUUUUAAAAAUUAGAAAGGGGAAAAAAAGAAAAUUGCAUUGUUUUUUGUAAAAGAAUAAUGAUAAAAAUGUACAAAAAUUAAAAAAUAAGUUCUCCGAUACAUUGUGAGUUCGUUGUGUAUCUUGCGUUUUAUGGUUGUUUACGAAAAAAUUACCUUGAGGUGUUAAGAUCCAAAGGGAUUAAGAGCAUGUGUUGUGUUGUGUUGUUAAAUUCAGCAUGUUUGCAGGACAGGAAGUAGUAGUAAUUGUGGUCCUGGUUCUUCAGUUCCUGUGUUGUGAGUAAGGGGAGACAACUCUUUUGAGUUCUUCAAUAAAACCCAAAUUAUAAAACUAUCAUUUUAGCUUCAUUUGCAUUAUCUUUUUUAUAUAAUUGCUUGUUAACUUAACUUUCAGAUUUUAACACUUUAUUUACAUUAUUUUCUAAUAAUAUAAAUCUGCAUAGACAAUUGCAUUUCAAAUUGUCAUAUCAUUUAUAAUAAAAAUGAUAGUAAUAACAACAAUAGUAAAAAUGAUAUUUAAAGAAUAUAAGUUUUAGCUUGAAGUGAUGAAUGCAUGGUAUCUUUAUAUAUUUGUGUUAGUCCAUCCAUGAAAAGUGAGGUAGAGAAAGGAAGUUUGAUCAACGAGGAGUUUGCAUAUUAAGUUGUGUUUGGAAUUUUUCAAUAAAGAGAUUCUCCUUGUUAAUUCUCUCCUGUGUGGUGAUCCCGUCUUUACAUUGGUAGAAGGGGAAUAUAUAGAAUUUGGGGUUUAAGUCUUUAGCACAUGAGUCUAAGUGGUCACUCAGUGGAAUUUGUCGGUAUUCCGGGAGAUUUAUUUGUUCUUUAUGCACCGUUACUCGUUUACGUAACGGGAGACUCGUUUGUCCAACAUAAUUAUGUUGGCAACCAGCGCAUGUGAGAACGUAGAUAAGGUUCUCGGAGGAACAGGAGAAGUUAGUCUUGAUUUUAAACUUCGUACCUUGUUUGAAGGUAAAUUCAGAGCCUUCAAGUAGAAAGGGGCAGGUACCACAGUUUGAGCGUGCACAUUUUUUUACUGUUGGGGGUGGAUGUGGUGUGUGAAGUUUGGCAUUUGUCAAGAGUUUUUUUUAAGAUUUGUGUUGCCUUUUGCAUUUGAGGAUUUUGUGUGUAUUUAUAAUGUUUUUCAUGUCUAUGCAGAUUUAUAUUAUUAGAAAAUAAUGUAAAUAAAGUGUUAAAAUCUGAAAGUUAAGUUAACAAGCAAUUAUAUAAAAAAGAUAAUGCAAAUGAAGCUAAAAUGAUAGUUUUAUAAUUUGGGUUUUAUUGAAGAACUCAAAAGAGUUGUCUCCCCUUACUCACAACACAGGAACUGAAGAACCAGGACCACAAUUACUACUACUUCCUGUCCUGCAAACAUGCUGAAUUUAACAACACAACACAACACAUGCUCUUAAUCCCUUUGGAUCUUAACACCUCAAGGUAAUUUUUUCGUAAACAACCAUAAAACGCAAGAUACACAACGAACUCACAAUGUAUCGGAGAACUUAUUUUUUAAUUUUUGUACAUUUUUAUCAUUAUUCUUUUACAAAAAACAAUGCAAUUUUCUUUUUUUCCCCUUUCUAAUUUUUAAAAAAACUUCUUAAAACAUAAAUAUUCUUGACAAGUCAUACAAUGACGAAAACCGGUUGAAUAAAUAUACAUUUAUAUAUUUUAUCAUUUUAUCAUUUUAUUAAAAUUUUCUUUCAUUUGAGCAUUCUGCAUUUUUUUAAAAAGUUUUUCCUUACUUAUCAUUUCUCCACGUGCGGUCAACACAACCCCACCAUUUAUUGAUCUAUAUAUAUAUAUAUAUAUAUAUAUAUAUAUAUAUAUAAUUAUCCGAUGUCGCUGUAUUAUCAAUUUGUUCAUAUAAUCGGAAGAAACCUCACCAAAUAUUUUCCCCUGAAGGGGAAAUAUUUCCGAUAUUGGUCUCGGGCGUCUGACGAAUACGCAUAUAUGCGCUUAGGAAACUUUGAGAAAUGUUGGUCUGAGUCAACUUGUUGAAUUCUUACAACUCCAACUAUAUGAAUGUUUCCUUCUGCUUGAUUUUACACAUAUAUAUACACACAUAUAGAUAAAUGGAUAGAUAGAUACAUAUAUACAUACAUAAGUGUGCGUGUGUGUGUGUGUUGUAGAAAAAUUACUCAUUGCAAUUUUUAGUUGUACUCAGGCGGUUGCCACCUCCUUCUUAAAAAAUUAUUUAAUCAGAUGAUGGAGCAGUUUCCAUGCCCUUUCCAAAUUCUUUAAUAAUGGGGAAAUUCUUGGCGCUUUUCCUCAACUAAUGCUUAUUUACUCCUGUCUGGGAAAAUAUAGUGAGUGAAAUGAAUUCCAGCUUUCGCCAGUUCUAGUUGGUGAGUGUGAUUCGAAAGGGGUCUAGUGCAGUGCUUAGGUGUGAGAAAGAAAGAGAGAGAGGAGGAGAGACAGACAGACAGAAUGCGAGAAGUGACACACGUGUUGCGUUGACUUAGAUGAUAUCAAUACGAAGUUUUGUGGUAUAAGUAAGAGAAAUAGUUAUAGAAGCUGUAAGAAAUACAAAAAAAAAAUGGUUCUUUGAAGCAGAGGUUGCAGUAGGUUUGUGUGAAUAUUUAGCAAUCAGCUGAAUAAGUUUCUUUUCGACGUGUCUACGCUAUUUACUAUUUACGUGAGUAGCAUAGAAAUUUCUGAGAUAAGUGGCUUACACUUGAGAUUUGUAGAAAGUCAACAAAUAAUCAGGGCACGAGUAUUUUCUAGUCCUAAAGAUGAAGCAUACACACAUAUGUUUAUAUAUAUAUGUGUAUGUACAUAUAUGUUUAUAUGUACAUAUAUGUAUAUACGUAUAUAUAUGCACUUUCAUAUAUAUUUAUGUAAGUGUAUGUAUGCAUCCGAUCUCUCUCUAUAUAUAUGUACUCCCAUAACAUGAAUUUAUAGAUCGUUAACGUAUAUUCCAGUGUUUACAUAUAUCUGUGUGACUGUUUGUCUGUGCAGUUGACUAUAUCGUUAGGUUUAAGCAAACACUGAACGAUGAUAAAUCAUUAGUAUUUUUAUGAUAUAUUUUGUUUUGUUACUUUAUGUAACAUAUUUGGUUUGUAAGACGUUGUUGCUCCUGCGAAGGAAACAAGUUUUAAACUCGACGCUUACAAUCAUAAUAGAUUGUGAGCCACCGAAGGAGUCAAUCGCCCCACUAGAAAUAGCAGUAAAAUAUUCCUCAUAUAUUAUGCUAUUGUAUUAAAACAAGUCCACAUUAGAUAAAGUGUUAGGAGGGGAAAAAAGCGGUAUAUUUACAGCUGCAUCACUUUUAAUGAUAGAUUUACUGGUUCAAGGCCGAGCAUAGGCUAAACAAUAACAGCAAUAAAGUCUGGUUAUUACAAACUUGAGGUUGCAUGAGAUACUUACUGGUAUAAUAAUUUAUAUAACAAGUCGUUCAUCUUUGGUUGUUAAUGUAAAAACAUAUUAAACUGAUCAUGCACGCUGGGUGGACUAGACUUCAUGUGAGAUACAAAUUUAAACAAUUUUCUACCAACAAGUGAUAAUGAGAACUGACGAAAAACUCCGAUCAAUGACACUGCGAGAUACGUAUUUGGUAUUGUGUCCAUUGAUGACGAGUAUGGGAGACGAGAUGAGAAAUCAAAAUUCCGCUUCAAAAUCAAAUCGAAGUGCUCAACCAUUUCCAUGAUCUCAGUACUCAUUCAAUGCUGUCCAGUACGGUCACAAACAAUUCCUUGAAACUUGUCAUUACAAAUUCUUCGUAGCCGAUCCUAUAGAUUAUUGUGAUAUCUAGGGAGCGUUUCAUGAGUAUGCUUUCUCAUAUCUUCUAAUUUCUUUCUUUUCCUCCUUAUAAACUGAUUCAGCCUUUUUUAUUUCUGCCCGAGAGCUGCGUGCAAUGCAAGAGGUCAUGUGUAUAAUUCUAUACUUUACAAGGUGAGUAACGUACUCACUGCAA
rnacentral:lncRNA from 1 species